GGCUGUCGUCAGCUCGUGUCGUGAGAUGUUGGGUUAAGUCCCGCAACGGGCGCAACCCACGUCUUUAGUUGCCAGCAUUCAGUUGGGCACUCUAGAGAGACCGCCGGUGAUAAACCGGAGGAAGGUGUGGAUGACGUCAAGUCAUCAUGCCCCUUACAUCCUGGGCUACACACGUACUACAAUGCUACGGACAAAGGGCAGCAAACUCGCGAGAGCUAGCAAAUCCCAUAAACCGUGGCUCAGUUCAGAUCGUAGGCUGCAACUCGCCUACGUGAAGGAGGAAUCGCUAGUAAUCGCAGGUCAGCAUACUGCGGUGAAUACGUUCCCGGGCCUUGUACACACCGCCCGUCACACCAUGGAAGUUGGCCACGCCCGAAGUCGUUACUCCAACCCUCGUGGAGGAGGAUGCCGAAGGUGGGGCUGAUGACUGGGGUGAAGUCGUAACAAGGUAGCCGUACCGGAAGGUGCGGCUGGAUCACCUCCUAA
rnacentral:rRNA from 1 species